UACGUAGGGUGCGAGCGUUGUCCGGAAUUAUUGGGCGUAAAGAGCUCGUAGGCGGCCUGUCGCGUCGGAUGUGAAAGCCCGGGGCUUAACCCCGGGUCUGCAUUCGAUACGGGCAGGCUAGAGUUCGGCAGGGGAGACUGGAAUUCCUGGUGUAGCGGUGAAAUGCGCAGAUAUCAGGAGGAACACCGGUGGCGAAGGCGGGUCUCUGGGCCUGCACUGACGCUCAUGCACGAAAGCGUGGGGAGCAAACAGG
rnacentral:rRNA from 1 species